UACGUAGGGAGCAAGCGUUGUCCGGAAUCAUUGGGCGUAAAGCGCGCGUAGGCGGCCCCGUAAGUCCGCUGUGAAAGUCAAAGGCUCAACCUUUGAAAGCCGGUGGAAACUGUGGGGCUAGAGUCCGGAAGAGGCGAGUGGAAUUCCUGGUGUAGCGGUGGAAUGCGCAGAUAUCAGGAGGAACACCAAUAGCGAAGGCAGCUCGCUGGGACGGUACUGACGCUAAGGCGCGAAAGCGUGGGGAGCAAACAGGG
rnacentral:rRNA from 1 species